rnacentral:rRNA from 1 species
CCUGGUUGAUCCUGCCAGUAGUCAUAUGCUUGUCUCAAAGAUUAAGCCAUGCAUGUCUCAGUACAUGCCGAAUUAAGGUGAAACCGCGAAUGGCUCAUUAAAUCAGUUAUGGUUUCUUAGAUUGUACCCACAUUUACUUGGAUAACUGUGGUAAUUCUAGAGCUAAUACAUGCAAACCAGAAUUCCUACCAGAGAUGGGAGGAAUGCUUUUAUUAGAUCAAAACCAAUCGGUGGCGGACGGUUCGCCCGUUCGUCCAUCGUUUGCUUUGGUGACUCUGAAUAACUUUGUGCUGAUCGUAUGGUCAUCUAGCACCGGCGACGAAUCUUUCAAAUGUCUGCCUUAUCAACUGUCGAUGGUAGGUUCUGCGCCUACCAUGGUUGUAACGGGUAACGGGGAAUCAGGGUUCGAUUCCGGAGAGGGAGCCUGAGAAACGGCUACCACAUCCAAGGAAGGCAGCAGGCGCGCAAAUUACCCACUCCCGGCACGGGGAGGUAGUGACGAAAAAUAACGAUACGGGACUCAUCCGAGGCCCCGUAAUCGGAAUGAGUACACUUUAAAUCCUUUAACAAGGACCAAUUGGAGGGCAAGUCUGGUGCCAGCAGCCGCGGUAAUUCCAGCUCCAAUAGCGUAUAUUAAAGUUGUUGCGGUUAAAAAGCUCGUAGUUGAAUCUGUGUGUCACAGUGUCGGUUCACCGCUCGCGGUGUCUAACUGGCAUUAUGUGGUACGUCCUACCGGUGGGCUUAGCUCCUUGCGGGCGGUCCAACUAAUCUCCCAUCGCGGUGCUCUUCACUGAGUGUCGAGGUGGGCCGGUACGUUUACUUUGAACAAAUUAGAGUGCUCAAAGCAGGCUACCUUCGCCUGAAUACUGCGUGCAUGGAAUAAUGGAAUAGGACCUCGGUUCUAUUUUGUUGGUUUUCGGAACCCCGAGGUAAUGAUUAAUAGGGACAGAUGGGGGCAUUCGUAUUGCGACGUUAGAGGUGAAAUUCUUGGAUCGUCGCAAGACGGACUAAAGCGAAAGCAUUUGCCAAAAAUGUUUUCAUUAAUCAAGAACGAAAGUUA